rnacentral:rRNA from 1 species
GAUGAACGCUGGCGGCGUGCCUAAUACAUGCAAGUCGAGCGAACAGAUGAGGAGCUUGCUCCUCUGACGUUAGCGGCGGACGGGUGAGUAACACGUGGAUAACCUACCUAUAAGACUGGGAUAACUUCGGGAAACCGGAGCUAAUACCGGAUAAUAUAUUGAACCGCAUGGUUCAAUAGUGAAAGACGGUUUUGCUGUCACUUAUAGAUGGAUCCGCGCCGCAUUAGCUAGUUGGUAAGGUAACGGCUUACCAAGGCAACGAUGCGUAGCCGACCUGAGAGGGUGAUCGGCCACACUGGAACUGAGACACGGUCCAGACUCCUACGGGAGGCAGCAGUAGGGAAUCUUCCGCAAAGGGCGAAAGCCUGACGGAGCAACGCCGCGUGAGUGAUGAAGGUCUUCGGAUCGUAAAACUCCGUUAUUAGGGAAGAACAAAUGUGUAAGUAACUAUGCACGUCUUGACGGUACCUAAUCAGAAAGCCACGGCUAACUACGUG